rnacentral:rRNA from 1 species
UCCAGACUCCUACGGGAGGCAGCAGUGGGGAAUAUUGCGCAAUGGGCGAAAGCCUGACGCAGCGACGCCGCGUGAGGGAUGAAGGUCUUCGGAUCGUAAACCUCUGUCAGCAGGGAAGAACGGUCACUGUGCUAAUCAGCAGUGAAUUGACGGUACCUGCAAAGGAAGCACCGGCUAACUCCGUGCCAGCAGCCGCGGUAAUACGUAGGGGGCAAGCGUUAUCCGGAUUUACUGGGUGUAAAGGGAGCGUAGGCGGCUGUGUAAGCCAGAAGUGAAAGCCCGGGGCUCAACUCCGGGACUGCUUUUGGAACUACGUGGCUUGAUUGCAGGAGAGGAAAGCGGAAUUCCUAGUGUAGCGGUGAAAUGCUUAGAUAUUAGGAGGAACACCAGUGGCGAAGGCGGCUUUCUGGACUGUAACUGACACUGAGGUACGAAAGCGUGGGGAGCAAACAGGAUUAGAUACCCGCGUAAA